GUGAGGAAUUUUGCGCAAUGGGGGCAACCCUGACGCAGCGACGCCGCGUGGAGGACGAAGUCUUUCGGGAUGUAAACUCCUGUCAGUGGGGACGAUAAUGACGGUACCCACAGAGGAAGCACCGGCUAACUCCGUGCCAGCAGCCGCGGUAAGACGGAGGGUGCAAGCGUUGUUCGGAAUUACUGGGCGUAAAGCGUAUGUAGGCGGCAAGUUAAGUUCAAUGUUAAAGCCCACGGCUCAACCGAGGAGAUGCAUUGAAUACUGGCUAGCUAGAGGGUGUUAGAGGAAGACGGAAUUCCCAGUGUAGCGGUGAAAUGCGUAGAUAUUGGGAGGAACAUCGGUAGCGAAAGCGGUCUUCUGGGACAUACCUGACGCUGAGGUACGAAAGCGUGGGGAGCAAACGGGAUUAGAUACCCUUGUAGCC
rnacentral:rRNA from 1 species